rnacentral:rRNA from 1 species
GACGAACCGUGCGAACGUUGUUCGGAAUCACUGGGCGUAAAGCGCACGUAGGCGGCUUCUCAAGUCAGGGGUGAAAUCCUGGAGCUCAACUCCAGAACUGCCUUUGAUACUGAGGGGCUCGAGUCCGGGAGAGGUGAGUGGAACUGCGAGUGUAGAGGUGAAAUUCGUAGAUAUUCGCAAGAACACCAGUGGCGAAGGCGGCUCACUGGCCCGGUACUGACGCUGAGGUGCGAAAGCGUGGGGAGCAAACAGG